rnacentral:rRNA from 1 species
AACGAACGCUGGCGGCAUGCCUAACACAUGCAAGUCGAACGAGAUCCUUCGGGGUCUAGUCGCGCACGGGUGCGUAAUGCGUGGGAAUCUGCCCUUAGGUUCGGAAUAACAGUUAGAAAUGACUGCUAAUACCGGAUCAUGCCGUUAAGUCCAAAGAUUUAUCCCCUGAGGAUGAGGCGGCCUAGGAUUCUCUAGUGGGUGUGGUAAACGCGCACCAAGGCGACGAUCCUUAGCUGGGCUGAGAGGAUAAUCAGCCACACUGGGCCUGAGACACAGUCCAGACUCCUACGGGAGGCAGCAGUGGGGGAUAUUGGACAAUGGGCGCAAGCCUGAACCAGCAAUGCCGGGUGAGUGAUGAAGUCGUUAGGGUAGUAAAGCUCUUUUACCCGAGAUGAUAAUGACAGUACCGGGAGAAUAAGCCCCGGCUAACUCCGUG